rnacentral:rRNA from 1 species
UACGUAGGGUGCAAGCGUUAAUCGGAAUUACUGGGUGUAAAGGGUUCGUAGGCGGUGCGGCAAGUCGGGAGUGAAAUCUCUGGGCUUAACCCAGAGGCUGCUUCCGAAACUGCUGUGCUUGAGUGUGGGAGAGGCGCGUGGAAUUGCAGGUGUAGCGGUGAAAUGCGUAGAUAUCUGCAGGAACACCCGUGGCGAAAGCGGCGCGCUGGACCACUACUGACGCUGAGGAACGAAAGCUAGGGGAGCAAACAGG